UACGCAGGGGGCUAGCGUUGCUCGGAAUCACUGGGCGUAAAGGGCUCGUAGGCGGUUUGUCGCGUCGGGAGUGAAAACCUCGGGCUUAACUCGGGGCUUGCUUUCGAUACGGGCAGACUGGAGGUAUGCAGGGGAGAACGGAAUUCCUGGUGUAGCGGUGAAAUGCGCAGAUAUCAGGAGGAACACCGGUGGCGAAGGCGGUUCUCUGGGCAUGACCUGACGCUGAGGAGCGAAAGUGUGGGGAGCGAACAGG
rnacentral:rRNA from 1 species